GCCAUAUCAAUAAGCGGAGGAAAAGAAACCAACAGGGAUUCCCUUAGUAACGGCGAGUGAACCGGGAAAAGCUCAAAUUUGAAAUCUGCCAACAGGCCGAGUUGUAAUUUGUAGAUGGCUACACUGCAUAAUAGUAGAUGCUCAAGUUCUUUGGAAAAAGACAUCAUGGAGGGUGACAAUCCCGUGAGGCAUGUUACUAGGAGCAUAUAGUGGGCUUUCUAAGAGUCGAGUUGUUUGGGAAUAAAA
rnacentral:rRNA from 1 species